AGUACUGAAUUAGGAAAUAGGAAGUCUGUAAAUCUCAUUCCAGAGUCCCCUGGUACUGGCGUCACCAAGCUUACUGAACCUCUGUGGUCUCUGGUCCAGGAGCUGGACUAGAUUUGUGUUUCUCAGGCCCUGAUCCAUUGCCAGGCUACACCAGACUCACCUGGAGCAUGUUUGAACAAGUUCUGAUGUCCUGCCCUACCCUCAGAGUCUCCAACUCAAUUAGUCUGAGCCCCGAGCAUGGCACCCUGUACACAAUAGUAAUUGUUGUUCGCUGCCAUUGAGUCGACCCCUAACUCAUGGAGAUGCCACACACAGCAAAAUGAAACGUUGCCUGACCCUGCCCCAUCUUCGUGACCAUUGCAGACUGAACUGUUGUGAUCCACAGAGUUUUCACUGGCUGGUUUGCAGAGGGAAGGGAAGAGACACAGAGACAGAAACGGCGAAGGCGGCCAUGUGAAGAUGGGAACAGAGAUUGGAGUGAUACUAGAAGCCAACGAAUGCCAAGGAUGACUGGCAACCACCAGAAGCUGGAAGAGGCAAUGAAGGCCCCUUGCCUAGAGCCCUCAGAGAGAGCAUGGCCCUGGUGUAACCUUGACUUUGGACUUUUAGCCUCCAGAACUGUGAGAGAAUAAAUUUUUGUUGUUUUAAGCCACCCACUCUGUGGUACUUUUUGCUAUAUAGCCCAGGAAACUAAUAUACCUUUCAUGUCAGCAGGGUACUUUACACAACUGGUUCUCAACUUGGCUGCCCAGUGGAAUCACCUGGAUGCCUGGACUCUGAUUUAAUUGGUCUGGGGUGUGGCCCGGGCAGCCAGAGUUUUACAAGCUCCCAGGUGAUUCCAAUGUGAAGCCACAUUAUCUAAUGAAAACACUUUCGGUUCUCUCAGUUGAUCCUGCUUUUUGCUGCCUUCUUCUUCCCUUCCUCUC